rnacentral:rRNA from 1 species
UACGGAGGGUGCAAGCGUUAUCCGGAUUCACUGGGUUUAAAGGGUGUGUAGGCGGGCUAUUAAGUCAGUGGUGAAAUCUCCGGGCUCAACCUGGAAACUGCCAUUGAUACUAUUAGUCUUGAAUAUCGUUGAGGUAGGCGGAAUAUGUCAUGUAGCGGUGAAAUGCUUAGAUAUGACAUAGAACACCGAUUGCGAAGGCAGCUUACUAAACGAAGAUUGACGCUGAGGCACGAAAGCGUGGGGAUCAAACAGG